rnacentral:rRNA from 1 species
UACGUAGGGUGCGAGCGUUAAUCGGAAUUACUGGGCGUAAAGCGUGCGCAGGCGGUUCGUUGUGUCCGUCGUGAAAGCCCCGGGCUUAACCUGGGAACUGCGAUGGAAACUAGCGAGCUGGAGUGUGGCAGAGGGGGGUGGAAUUCCGCGUGUAGCAGUGAAAUGCGUAGAGAUGCGGAGGAACACCGAUGGCGAAGGCAGCCCCCUGGGCUAACACUGACGCUGAGGAGCGAAAGCUAGGGGAGCAAACGGG